GACAAAUCUGCAGCCCUAGAAACUGGUGAUGAUAGAGGGGAGCCAACGUGAAACACAAGGCCCCACUGAUGAUGCUGAAAUCUUCAGGGAAAAUAGCACAGUGAGUGCAGGGCAGAUGAGCUCUGCCUUCCUCCACAUCAGACAAGAAAUCCAGAUUGUGUGCUUCAUAGGGAGCUGAAGGAUUAGUCCUUGGGUGGCCAUACUUCCACUCCUUUGUCAUAGAGCAAGGAGGGUUGGUCCCUGAUGGAUAAGGACUUAGAUGGAAUUGAAUGCCUUCUAAUGAUCUCCCUUGGACUUCCCAACAGGACAAGAGCAAAGACAAGUCCCAGAUACAGAGUUUUAAGAAGCUUUCUCUACGAUCCUCCUCUACUCAGUAAGGUCUCUGCUCCAUGAUGAACUUUACGAGGAGGCUGAGCCUUACUUCAGGAUUGCUAUGUAUAAUGACCUGAAGUUAACACAAGAGCUCAUCUUACAAUCUUGUAGAGAACUGUGGCCAUCUGAAGACUUAAAUCCACCUGUGUAUUCACGUAGAAUUGUGGGUCUCUCAUUGGCCUGGAACUCACCAAGUAGGUUGGGCUUACUGGCCAGCAAACCCAGGGACCCACUUGUCUCCAUAUUGCCUGCACUGGACUGAAGAUCACCAUGCCUGGCCUGCUUUCUUUCUUUUUAAUUCUUAAUUUCUACUUGGUGUGCACUCAGCCCAAAGAUUGGGUUGCCCACUGUGAAUUUGAUAGUUUGGAUAGAUUUAGUUUUUCUUCUUCUUUUUUUUUUUUUUGUUUGUUUUUUGAGUCAGCCAGUUCACAUUUUCUAUCCUUCAAGUGUCUGCGUUUGAUUCCUUAGGCCCCUCACAUUCUCAGUGGCAAUAUCUUCCUGGGAUGGGUUCAUCUGACCCUCGUUUUCCCUUGCUAGUCUUGCUACUCCUGAAAGUACCUUUGUAUAGCCACCGGACUGUCCUGUUGGGGGUUAUUCUACAUUUUGUGAAGGAAGUGGCUGUUUCUAGUUGUUUGCAUGAGGCUCCUUCAAGGGGAGAGUGAAACAGCCCUCCAGGCCAGCAGCCCUUCUCCUUAGCUCACAGUUGAGCCCCUCAUGACUCAGGGCUCAGCGUGGGUGCACUGCCUGCACCUUUGUUUCUGCAGAGCUCAGUUGCCGAGCUGUUCAUAAUUUAAGGUCCGCUUCCUUCACCCUGCUUCAAAGCCACAUUGCUUCUUGACAUGAGUAAUGUUUCCUUGCUCAGCGCCACCGCCUCUAUGGUCUUCCCAGUCAGAGAGAGGUCACAGAAGCCACACCACCCCCACCCGCAGAGGCUCUGACACCUUGUUCCCACUGUCCCCAACAGGUUUUGCCCCUUGUGUCACACUUGUGUUGAAGAACUUCACUGUUUGAUUUAUUUGCUGUCCUCAGUCACAGAUGUCUUGGUAGGUGUUCCACUGUACCCUUUGACCUUUUCUGCAGGCAGUUCUUCUCAAAUUUUGUAACCUCAAAGUUACAGGAGUCUCUCCUCGCUUUAUCAAAGGUUGUUUUCUUCUUUUUUAGUUUUCACUGAUGCUUAGCGAAACCAUUGAGAGGCAUUUUUAGUCAGGUAUUUUCUAAUCAAGCAUCAAAACGUCUGUUUUGAGAAGCCCAUUAUUACUUUAUUAAGAUUAACUGAUCUAAGUGGCAUAUUUGUAAAUUUUAAGAAUUCUGCAAUUUUCAGAAAUGCCACAUGAAGUUUAUAAAUUUAUUCUGGUCCCCUAAUACUUGUUACCUUCUAUCUUUCAUAUGCUCUUAUUAAUAUAUACAAAAGCUUUGCCUACUUGCAUUCUAACAUGAUUUGCCUCCUAAGGCACAAUUUUAAUUAUUGGGUGAUAUAUAAUUGUAUCUUCUUUGAGAGUCUCCCAUUGUUGUUUUGUUUCUUUUGAUAGCUUUUUAACCUUGUGUGGGUAAUAUGUCCUGCUGUCUCCAGCAGGGUUAGUGAGUGUGCACUUGUGUCUCGCCAAACAUCUUGAAGAACUGCACUGUUUGAUGUAUUUGCUAUCCUCAGGCACAGAUGUCUUUUCCUUCAAGGUAUAGGGCAUGUAUGUUUCUCAGUCAUUUGAAAGUUUUGUUUUAUUUUUUGCUGUAAUUUUUAUUGUUAAUUUUAUAUUUGAUAUUACAUAUAUUAGUCUACACAGAUGUAUAUGAUGUUCUAUGAUUAUCUUCACCCCUUACUCUUGUUCUCCUCCAACUCCUGUUCACCUUGUCUGCUUCUCAGCUCCUUUCCUACUUCUAUGAGUAAAAAAAAAUAUUCUUCUAGAUUAACUUCAGAAUCAUGUGUUGAGUUUCCAAAACUAAACCGUCAAGCCCACUGGGACUGCAGUGAGUUUAUUUUUUUGUUUGGGGGGAAAACUGACAUGUUGAUAAUAUUAAAUCUUUGUUGGUAACAUGAUAUAGUUCUCCAUUUAAAAACAUUUUUAUUUUAUGUCCUUUAAUAAAAAUAUUGUGGCUUUCUUCAAAAUUCUGCACAUCCCUAUUGACCUUAACUCUUAGGUAAUGUUUAUUGACAUGCUGUUAGUAAUGUGUUUAUUGACAUACUGUUUUCAGUGUGUUAAAUAGUAAUAUGUUUUGUUUUGUUUUAAGGAAGAAAGACUUUAUUGUGGCACUGUUCCAGAGGAUUGAUUCCAUUAUAGCAAGGAAGGCAGCUAAAUCAGGAAGCUUACUGAUCUCAACAUUUUUAUCCAUACACAGGAAGUAGAGAUGUACAAAAGGAAGCAGGGUGAAGCUAUAAUCCCUUAAGGCCCAUGUCCAGGAACUGUAUUUCCUCCAGCAAGGCUCUACCUCCUAAAUGCUCAACUACCUCCCAAAACAAAGGACCAAGAUUUCAAAGUCAUAAUACCGUGAAAGUCAUUUCUCAUUCAAACCUCAAUACUCACUGAAGGACUCCGUGAAUGUAUUCUAAUUCAUUAUUGCUGCAAUAUGGUGAAAUACUGAGUUUUAUCUUGUAAUGACUACAUUUGAUGUAAAGGUAUAGUGUCUCCCAUAGGCAUAUGUGAAGGCAGGCUUUGAAAUGAGGGCUCAGUGGAGAAACUGGUCACUGGGGCCAAGCUCGCGAUUUCUUAGCCCAGCAGCACUUCUGGUCUGCUGUCUCCUCCUGCCUGGGCAUAUAGUGUGGCCAGCUAGCUCACAUUCCUGCUGCGCCUUUGCCACUGAGAUGAGCUGUAUCCCCUUGUGCUGUGAUCCAAAAUUAAUUCUUCCUUCCUUAAUUUAAUUCUUGCUGGAUACUUGAUCAUGGCAUAGGAAAAGGAGCUAGUACCACUUUGUUAAAUUUCCCAUUGUUUUUAGUUGUUUUCGGGUAAUUGUUUUGAGUUUUAUACAUCAUUAAUGUUAUCUACAUGUGUUUGUUUUUCUCCCUUUUUCUGACAUUCAUUUAAUAAUUUUCUUUUCUUAAUCCAUUUUUAUUGAUGAACUUUCUCAAUAAAUCCAGCAGGCAUUUUUUUAUCACAGUAGGAAUGACUCCUCUACUUUAUUAUUGUUAGUGUAUUUAUAUAGACUACAUACAGGUGGGUUUAUUAAAAAUAUUCUUGCUGGGCCUAGACAGUGUGCUGACCUAGAAACCAAGUGAAAACUGCAUUUGAUAUGUGACGCAAUUGUUAUCUGUGUCAAAUACCAAUGAUUAGUCAAGGAAGAAAGGAAUGUGAUUAACUAUGAGGUAUAUCAAGCAUUAGACCACAAUGACCUGGACAUAGGUUGUUCCAGAGGAGUGGUUAGGCUUCAUACAAAUUUUUAGUCAUUGUGUGAAAUAACAAUGUUUAGAUAAAAAUAUUAAAAAUUGAAAAUAAAAGUGAGGGGAGAAAUCUUAAGUGAACUUUGAAAAUUCAAAACUUUGAUAAGCACCUCAAAGUGGUACAGUUUACUUAAACCCGAGAAAAUACUUCAGUGGAAGUGCAUCAUCACCACUGAUCAAAUCUUUAGGUCCAAGACUUAAAGCCAAAAGAUACUUUUCUUAGAGAGAAAGGAUAAAGCCUAGCAUUGUGGUGGCUACAUUACCACACAGGUGCUUUUGCCUUCAGAGUAGCUGAAAUGGAUCUUGUCUUUCCAUGAGUAAGAUGUUCAUCUUGUCAACCUAGCAUGACAGAGAGGCAUCAGCGAUAUAAGGAGAGCGUAGUUCUGGGUACACUAAGGGCAUUUACAGCUAGUAUUCACAAGCAUGGGGCAUUUGCCCUAAAUGUGGGUGAUAUUAAACCAAAGGCUUGAGAUCUAAGUGGAAUACCAGAGGCACAGGAGUAAGCCUUCAAGCACGGACGUUCUUGUCUCUCUGCUUCUUAGAUGCUCUAAUGUGAGGGGCUUGCCACAGAGGGCUGAAAGCGCCAGCAACAUAAGCCAAAACAACCAAGUGAGUUGUUUAUGUCAGAUAUGCUAUGACAGUAAUGAAAAGUGACUAUGAGCCAUUGGCAAUUUCAAGGUAAUUGUAGCAGCUAGAAGAGCAAUUUAGCAGCUAGCUGAAGAUCACCUUGAGAAACUGUUCAUGCAAUAUAAUAUCAAAAUCUGAAACAAGGAGUGCUGAAAAGAGUGAGACUGUAGUAGCUACAUUUGAAAAAUAGCAUUUUAUUUCAUCCCUGUAUUUCAGAAUUUUCUUCAGUGAUGAUUGAUUUUGACUGUGGCUUUUCAGACAUUACUCCCCAUUCGCAGCUCCAUCUGCGCAGUCCUCUCCCUGGCAGGUAGGUUUUCCCAUUUCUGACACUUGGAGUCUUGCUCCUCCACCCAGCUGACUAAGCGCCUCUUCCAUGGUCCAGUUGGCGACAGGAUUUUCUGGUCUGCUAGGCAGUUCUACUCAUUUGCGCGCAUUCUUGUUUCUAUACUUGACUUGCUUUUACCUUCUCAUUAUUGUCUUUAAAAUCUAGCAUAGGAGAAAGCAAGUAACAGGACAGGAGCCUACCGCAGAGGGCCUCUAGCUCUAUCUAGCAGUGUAUCACAGCAGAUGCUGAGACUCAUAACCAAAUUUUAGGCAGAGUGCAUGAAAGAAGGGGGAGUUAGUAUGACCUGGAGAGGACAGGAACUCCACAAGGAUCAAAUAAAUAUAUCAGGGCACAGGGGUCUUUUAUGAGACUGUUUCUCCAUCAAGGACCAUAUAUGAAUAUAACCUAGAACCCCUGCUUGGAUGUAGCCCAUAAUAGCUCAGUAUCCAAGUGGGUUCCCUAGUAAAAGGAAUAAGGAUUAUUUCUGACAUGAACUCAAUGACUGGCUCUUUGACCUCCUCCCCCCUGCCCCCCUCCCCCCACUGAGGGAAGAGCAGCCUUGCUAGGCCACAGAUUAGGACAUUGCAACCAGUCCUGAAGAUACCUGAUAAGCUAGGGUCAGGUGAAAGGGGAGGAGGACCUCACCUAUCAGUGGUCUUGGAAGGGGGCAGGGAGGAGAUGAGGAAGGGAAGGUGGGAUUGGGAGGGAAACGGGGAGAGGGCUAUGGCUAGGAUACAAAUGAAUGACCUGUGAUUAAUAUAAAAAAAUAAAAUAUAAAAAAAAUAUCUAGCUCUGGGAUUACCUUCCCUAUGAACCAGAUCCAUAUUCCACCAGCAGAGCCUACCUCUACCUCUCCUUUCUCUCCAAAGCUCUUUGAGUUGUUCUCUUUUCUGGUCUUUAUCACUGUGCUUUCCCCCAUAAAACUUGGCUCCGUUUUAUAGCACUCCUCAAGAACCGGCACAUGCAUGCCAUUAAUAUGCCGUCAAAGCACAAGUGAGGCAGAGGAAGUGGCAUCCACAAGCCAGGUUUCUGACUGGUGAAAGAGUGAGAGAAGACUUGAAGAUGAAACCCCAACUGUGGCAAGUUUUGUCAUAGGAAAUCAAAGACUGUCAGUACUAAUCAAAUGAGAGGAAAGACUGGAAGAAGCAUUAAAAAAAAAAAGAGACUAGUCAGGAACUUUUGUCAGAGGUCAAUGAGAAAAAAUGUUUACUAAUUAAAAAGCAUGUGCACUGAA